GUGCUCGCUUAGCACACAUACUAACAUGGGAAGGGUACAGAGAAGAUCGGCAUGGCCCUGCGCAAGGAUGGCACACAAAUUCGUGGAGCAUUUCAUAUUCAA
ensembl:snRNA U6 U6 spliceosomal RNA